rnacentral:rRNA from 1 species
AGAACGAACGCUGGCGGCAUGCCUAAUACAUGCAAGUCGAACGAACACUUCGGUGUUAGUGGCGCACGGGUGCGUAACGCGUGGGAAUCUGCCCUUGGGUUCGGAAUAACAGUUGGAAACGACUGCUAAUACCGGAUGAUAUCGAAAGAUCAAAGAUUUAUUGCCCAGGGAUGAGCCCGCGUAGGAUUAGCUAGUUGGUG